rnacentral:rRNA from 1 species
CGCUGGCGGCGUGCCUUAAUACAUGCAAGUAGAACCGCUGAAGGAGAGCUGCUUCUUCUGGAUGAGUUGCGAACGGGUGAGUAACGCGUAGGUAACCUGCCUGGUAGCGGGGGACAACUAUUGGAAACGAUAGCUAAUACCGCAUAAUAGUAGAUGUUGCAUGACAUUUGCUUAAAAGGUGCAAUUGCAUCACCACCAGAUGGACCUGCGUUGUAUUAGCUAGUUGGUGAGGUAACGGCUCACCAAGGCGACGAUACAUAGCCGACCUGAGAGGGUGAUCGGCCACACUGGGACUGAGACACGGCCCAGACUCCUACGGGAGGCAGCAGUAGGGAAUCUUCGGCAAUGGACGGAAGUCUGACCGAGCAACGCCGCGUGAGUGAAGAAGG